AAGUUGUUGAUGGACCUUUGUUUAUUCAUUUAUUUAUAUGUGGUGCUCACAAUCGAACCCAGUGCCUCACUCAAGCUAGGCAAGUGCUGUACCGCAGAGCCACAUCCCCAGCCCCUGUCCCAGCCUUUUGUCUCACUGUGGUGGUCCCUCACUAUCUCAGUGUGGCCCAGCCAACUUAACACAUAAGAACUCCCAGCACAGAAUAUUUAGGACUGUGAUGCAUGCUCCCUGAAUACGGGGGCCUGUGGAUGGAGCUCCCGGGUUUCUCAUUGGUGAGUCGGGGUUUCCUUACCUAUCAAUAGUAUCUGUCCCAUAUAGGUAACAAAACCAGCCAAGGCCACAAGGAAAAAACAGAAGGCUUGCCAUGUGCCAGGAACUAGUAGUUAAUGUACUUUUUUUUGGUGGUGGUAUUGAGGAUUGAACCUAGAGGUGCUUUGCCAUUGAGCUACAUUCCCAGCAUUUUUAUUUUUUAUUUAGAGACAGGGUCUUGCUAAGUUGCCUUAGGCUGGACUUGGACUUGUGAUCUUCCUGCCUCAACCUCCUGAGUGGCUGGAAUUACAGGUGUGUCCCACCAUGCCUGGCUAUCCAUUUCUUUUAAGGAGAGGCAUAGAGAGGACAAAUGACAUGUCCAAGGACACCCAGUGCUAUGGUCCAAAUGUUUGAGUUUUCCUCAGAUUCCCUCCUAUGUUGAAAUCCUAACCCUGAUGUUGACUCAGAUGUCCUUGAGCAGUGAAGCCUCCGGAGGGAAAGGAGUGGAUGCAAACCCGGUUGAGACAUAGGACAGUGGGGACGAAUGGGACAUUGGAGUAGGGAAUCUCAUCAUUGACCUGGACACUGACCUGGGAAAGGACCAGCAGAAACUGGAAAUGUCUGGCUCAUAGGAGGUGGGGAUGCCAGCUCCCAAUGCUGUGGCCACACGACCAGACAGCGUCAAGUUGUGGCCCCAGUGCCAGGUCCUCAAGGGAAGGAAGGCAAAUCAAAAUCCAAAAGGAAUAAGAGUGAAAAGACACUAGCAAACCCACUCAGGGACUUCCUGUUCACUCCAAGUGAGGGGGCAGCUAUCAAGAAAGAGGUGCAGGGGCGCUCGGGAGGUGGUGCCAGUGCAGGAGGCCUGGUUGCUGCUAUUGCUCCCAAGGGCUCAGAGAAGGCCGGUAAGGCAUCCCGCAGUGUAGCCGGCUCCAAAAAGGAGAGGAGACAGCUCGUCUAAGAGCAAGAAGGAGAGAAGCCAAGGAGUGGGGACUUGUUCAGAAAAGGAUCCUGGGGUCCUCCAGCCGGUUCCCUUGGGAGGACGGGGUGGUCAGUGUGAUGGAAGUACAGGAGCUGUGGAGCCACUUGGGAGUAUAGCUGUUGAGCCUGGGGCAGCGCUCAAUCCUUUGGGAACUAAACCAGAGCCAGAGGAAGGGGAGAAUGAGUGUGGCCCGCUAAGGAAAGUCAAGUCUGAAAAGGUAAGAGGUGGCCGGAUCUGGCUGCCCACUGCAGUCAAAACUGCCCUGGACUAACUGCCAAAUGCUGUGUGCACUCUGUUGGAGGCUUAUUAGUUUGUAGGUAAUGACCAAUUACAAGGUCAGAGCAGCUGGUAAUGAUAAUGUGGUUUUGUUCCAAAUUAGAGGAUUCCCUAUAGGCUCAUUUACAGCAAGCCCGGACAUUUUGGAAUAGGAUAUCUGUUCUUAGAAUUCUACUUGGUAGAAUGAAUUUUCUCACACCUUGUUAUUGUUCCAUCUUGGACACUUGUUGCUAGAGGCUGGCACCAAACUUUUAUGUGGUUUCCAGCUUGAAUGACAUUUCAUUAUUAUAGAGUUAUAAUAGUUGAUAAACUUAAUUAGCUUUUGGUUACAUGUAUAGGACUGUUCUUAAUGGAAUAAAUGGUGGUGUUGUGUUUCUGGAAGAACUAAAAGAUUGAUUAAGCUUCAUGGCUUAUCUACCAAGUGUUCUAUUGUGGCUACCAAAGAGCAUAAGGACACAGUUUCUGGUCUGGUAAACAAGGGGACAGGAGGUCCUGACUAUACUAUGAAAUACUCAUAAAUCAGGCUUUAUGAGUUACUGUUGUGGCUAUGAAAGUUUGGCCUAGAAAGAAUUUUUGGUCACUAAAAGAGAAUCUCUUUGUCAGGUACCUCCUGCAACUAUUGGGAAUCAGUGACCUGGUGGUUUUGUAGCUGCCCAAUAGUAUAAUGAUACCUUGUCUUUUGCUUGACUUAAAAGGAUAGGUGCCUGCAGCCCCAGGAUUUUUUAAGAUUGAGUCGCUCCUUUGAGAAGAUGAUCUUAGUUGAUAUCUCAGUAAAAUUCUUAGUGAAUGUCUCUCAGGGCUAGAGAAGAAUAGGUAUACAUAUGGGGCCAAUUCAGGCUGCCUUAAAUUUGAGCAAUUUACAGUUUCCUGCAAAGCAGGACUGGUGAUGAAGCGUUUAUCGGCUCUUGAUUUUCUGCUCUGUGUUCUGCUCACCCUGUGCUUUUAGCUGAUCCCAGCAGAUGCAGUAUCAAUUGAUUUCUCUGUAAUCAAUCAGCUACAGCAGGGAAUACCUAUUUCCAUAUGUAAGUGUUAAUAAAUAAAGGCUGGAUGUGCAAAAAAAAAAAAAAAAGGGUUAGGCACAAGGGGCUGGGGUUGGGGCUCAGCGGUAGAGAGCUCACCUAGCACUGUGAGGCCCUGGGUUCGAUCCUCAGCACCACAUAAAAAUAAAUAAAUAAAAAUAUUGUGUCCAACUACAACUAAAAAAAUAUUUAAAAAAGAGGCACAGUGGUAUAUGCCUAUAAUCAUGGCUAUUUAGGAAUCUUAGAAGGAAGGAUUUCAAGUUCAAGUUCAGUCUGGAUAACUUUUUUUUUUUAAUUGGUUGUUCAAAACAUUACAAAGCUCUUGACAUAUCAUCUUUCAUACAUUUGAUUCAAGUGGGUUAUGAACUCCCAUUUUUACCCCAAAUACAGAUUGCAGAAUCACAUUGGUUACACAGUCUGGAUAACUUUUUGAGACCCUGUCAAAAAAUUAAAAAUAAGAAGGGCUGGGCACAAUGGUGCAUGCCUUUUUAUCCCAGUGACUCGAGAGGCUGAGGCAGGAGGAUCACAAGUUGAGGUCAACCUCAGAUACUUAGCAAGGGCUUAAACAACUUAGUAUUUAAAAUACAAUAUAAAACAAAUAUAAUAAUAUAAAAAGGGCUGGGGAUGUGGCUCAGUGGCUGAGCACCCCUGGGGUCAAUCCCUGCUACCCAAAACAAAACAACAAAAAAAGGAACUGGGGAUGUAACUCAGUGGUAGUAUCUCUGGGUUCAAUCCCUAGUGCAAAAAAAAAAAAAUUGUGUAAGAGCUGGGCACAGUUGUGCACAUCUGUAAACUCAGCUACUUGGGAAGCAGACCACAAGUUCAAGACAAGCCUAGGAAAUUCAGUGAGAGCUUGUCUCAAAACAGAAAAAUUUUAGAAAGGGAGCUCUGUGGUAGAGUGCCCUGGGUUCAAUCCCCUGUACUGGGGGUAGGGGGAGACUGUAAGAAAUGAAUAGGAGGGUGUGGGGAGCCAUUCUCACACGUGAUUGGGCAACUCCUGGAUUGGGUGUGAGGCGCUCUGGCUAAACUGUGUCGGAGCUUUCCCGACCCUCUCCUGGUGCGAGAGCCUGUCCGUGUGGGGGUGUGACUGACCACUGACCCUGGGGCCAAUCACUGACCCUGACCUUGGAGUGCUGCCCCCCUCAACCGUCAUUGGAUGGAAUUCUCCCCUGAAUUUCUUGUUCCCCAAUAAAAGGCCACUCCCUGGCGUGCUCGCGCUCUCUCUCUCCUGCUAGCCCUGAGUAAUCCCUGCUGCCCUACGGGUGAUUCGAGGUUGGAGCCAGAGGGAGAGCUGUCUUGGACCUGGUCAUAGAAAAAGCCCUGCUUCCAGGAGACUCUGCUACAGUGGAGGCUACAACAGAUUCCCCGUGACUGCUCUGGGAGACUGCUUCAGUUUUACUGGCUUCGGACCUCCCCUAGGCUCUCCAGGUGGCUUUGUCUCAUAACCUGUCAGGAUGACUUCUCUGCAACUGUUUUAGAUGUCUCCAGUUCUUGAGAAACUCCUCCCACGACUAAGCAGUAAGUCUGCAGUUAGCUGGGGAGACACUGCACUGUACAAGCCCACCCUUUCCGUCUGUACGAGCAGCUCCCGCUCACCGUAUCGGUUCAGCCCAUGUGCUGUUUCUCCAUAUACUGCAACAUAAAGCUUGAUAAAGACUCUUUCUGAUAGUUUUA